rnacentral:lncRNA from 1 species
GUGAGAUUUUAGGCCAAAAAGCAAUAAAGACUCCUGUGUGUUAGUUCUUAAGGAGUUGUACUUCCAGCCUGCUGAUAGCUGUCAUUCUCAUAACCUCUGAAGAAACACGUACUCCACACACUGGCUGCACACACACAGAUCGGCUUGAGAAGCUGUAUGUCAGGGAUCACAUAGCCUUUCUUCUGCUCUUGUGUUCAGUUGACUGGUAGUUCUUCGCAAAUGAAUGAAUGCUACUAAAUGACCAGUUGAAUAAGAUUUCCUCAACUGGGCAAUUGUUGACAAGGAUAACCAACUUGCUCUGCCCUGUUUGAUCAUCUUCAGAGUCUGUUUGCUUCCCAGAACAUACUUUCAACUUCUUAAAACAAGUUGGAGCCUAAAGUUGAAUUGAUCUACUCCAGAGACUUUUUCCUCUUCUUUGGGGCCACCAUCUUCCUUCAUUAGGUAUGUGUCAGUCCCCAACUAAGAUCAACAUGGCCAAGGAGUGAGAGAAGGCCAAGCCUUUUGAAACUCAGCUAGCUUUUUAUGACGAAGAAGCCAUGACUUGGUUCUGAAACACCUCCUCCUCCUCAGCUCAGUGUUCCUUCUCCUUGGUGUGAUGGUAUGCCUCCUCUACAGGUCUGCAUGACAGCUGUUUCCAACAAACCUCUAUCUCACUGACAACCUCGGGAACAUUCUCCUUCACUCCCAGUCCUGGCACGUGCUCCUGCAUAGACCUCUUCCUCACCACAUGCUCACACAGAACAAUUAUACUCAGUCUGCCACAUCCCCGACGACGGUCACUUCUCAGUCUACAUUGGUUGUACCUUCCCUUCACAUCUCUCAAUAAGUAUCACAU